rnacentral:rRNA from 1 species
CCUACGGGAGGCAGCAGUGGGGAAUAUUGCACAAUGGGGGAAACCCUGAUGCAGCGACGCCGCGUGAGAGAUGAAGUAUUUCGGUAUGUAAAGCUCUAUCAGCAGGGAAGAAAAUGACGGUACCUGACUAAGAAGCCCCGGCUAACUACGUGCCAGCAGCCGCGGUAAUACGUAGGGGGCAAGCGUUAUCCGGAUUUACUGGGGGGAAAGGGAGCGUAGACGGUCCUGCAAGCCAGAUGUGAAAGCCCGGGGCUCAACCCCGGGACUGCAUUUGGAACUGUAAGGCUAGAGUGUCGGAGAGGCAGGCGGAAUUCCUAGUGUAGCGGUGAAAUGCGUAGAUAUUAGGAGGAACACCAGUGGCGAAGGCGGCCUGCUGGACGAUGACUGACGUUGAGGCUCGAAAGCGUGGGGAGCAAACAGGAUUAGAUACCCCUGUAGUC